AAUUCCUUUAUUUCAUAUUCAUAUUCAAUAACAUGAACUUCUGUUCUGUCAUUUAUUAUCCAGUUUCAACAUGUUAAAAGAGUGGAAAAGAAACAUGUUUGUUACUUUAAUUCAAGGAAAUAGCAACAGAUCAAGUUUUACUCACACAAGGAAAAUGUGAAAUGAAUACAUCAUUUAAUUUAAAGAAAUAUGUCAAAUAAAUUGCAUUUAAAUGAGCUGUACAACAGAUAAAACACUAUAAUCUGGAGAUUUUAAAGGAGAAUGUUUGUGGUUAUUACAAUUGCAUUAAUCAAGUUGCAAUAAAUGUGUCACACAUCAACAUAUAAAGUCUCUCUUCUGGCUCACGGUAACUUCUCGUUUGGCAGUGAAAAGCACAAAACAUCUUUUCAGCACCAAUCAAAAGCUAAAAACACGAGAACGACUGAAGUGUCCCAAUAAAGAACAGAGACACUAAAACGAUCUUUACGGACCUGCUUCAGGAAUAUACUAUACACACUAUAUUUACAGUCUUUUACUACUAUGUACUUACAUUAAAAUGCUACAAUAUAAUGUAUUUAUUGUGUAACUACAUGUUGUUCUGCAAAAUUCUCACAUGAUUUACAGUUGCAGCUACUGAGGUUGAGGUAGAUUUUGAGUUUAGGGCUAGGUUAAAGUUAGGUCAGGGUAAAGUUAGGGUCAGGGUAAAGUUAGGGCUAGGGUAAAGUUAGGGCUAGGGUAAAGUUAGGGCUAGGGUAAAGUUAGGUCAGGGUAAAGUUAGGUCAGGGUAAAGUUAGGGUCAGGGUAAAGUUAGGGUCAGGGUAAAGUUAGGGUCAGGGUAAAGUUAGGGUCAGGGUAAAGUUAGGGCUAGGUUAAAGUUAGGGCUAGGUUAAAGUUAGGGCUAGGGUAAAGUUAGGGCUAGGGUAAAGUUAGGGUCAGUUUAAUGUUAGGGUCAGGGUAAAGUUAGGGCUAGGUUAAAGUUAGGUCAGGGUAAAGUUAGGGUCAGUUUAAUGUUAGGGUCAGGGUAAAGUUAGGGUCAGGGUAAAGUUAGGGCUAGUUUAAAGUUAGGGUCAGGGUAAAGUUAGAGUCAGUUUAAUGUUAGGGUCAGGGUAAAGUUAGGGCUAGGUUAAAGUUAGGUCAGGGUAAAGUUAGGGUCAGUUUAAUGUUAGGGUCAGGGUAAAGUUAGGGUCAGGGUAAAGUUAGGGCUAGGUUAAAGUUAGGGCUAGGUUAAAGUUAGGGCUAGGGUAAAGUUAGGGCUAGGGUAAAGUUAGGGUCAGGUUAAAGUUAGGGCUAGGUUAAAGUUAGGGUCAGGGUAAAGUUAGGGUCAGGUUAAAGUUAGGGUCAGGGUAAAGUUAGGGUCAGGGUAAAGUUAGGGUCAGGGUAAAGUUAGGGUCAGGGUAAAGUUAGGGCUAGGUUAAAGUUAGGUCAGGGUAAAGUUAGGGUCAGGGUAAAGUUAGGGUCAGGGUAAAGUUAGGUCAGGGUAAAGUUAGGACUAGGUUAAAGUUAGG